UGCGUAGGUGGUUCGUUAAGUCUGAUGUGAAAGCCCUGGGCUCAACCUGGGAAUGGCAUUGGAUACUGGCGACCUAGAGUGCGGUAGAGGGGUGUGGAAUUCCCGGUGUAGCAGUGAAAUGCGUAGAUAUCGGGAGGAACAUCUGUGGCGAAGGCGACACCCUGGACCAGCACUGACACUGAGGCACGAAAGCGUGGGGAGCAAACAGGAUUAGAUACCCUGGUAGUCCACGCCCUAAACGAUGCGAACUGGAAGUUGGGUGCAACUUGGCACUCAGUUUCGAAGCUAACGCGUUAAGUUCGCCGCCUGGGAAGUACGGUCGCAAGACUGAA
rnacentral:rRNA from 1 species